GUUUAGCUCCUGGAACCAGAGCCCUUUUGAAGAGAGUCGCAUCAGCGGGGGACCAAAAUGCUACAUCGCCACGUAGUUCAUGGAUCGUGGAUAGUUCCCGGAAGUCCUGGGCGGGGAAUUCAAAAUGAGCAAGAGAAACGACAAAUAGGCCAUUUUAAGCGAUUUCUGGAGGACAGAAAACGAGUAUGAAUGUUUGGUUUUCCCAGCUGACAUGGAGAGGAGGAGCAACCUACAAUCACUAAAGAGGCUAACAACAAAAAAUGUUCACUCACCCUCGUCCUCCGUCCUGUCAGCUGGGCUCAUCCUCCGGUCCUCUCCUCUCGGGCUUCCUCCACGGCGCCCUCCCGGCUCCUCCCAGCUCCUCGCCUCACCACCUGCGCCUCGCCUGCUCCUCGGCCCGUGUCCCCCAGCGUCCACCUCUCCUCCCUCACCUCUUCCCUAGCCCCCUCUGUGAACCCUCAAUAAAACCU